AUGAACGCUGGCGGCAUGCUUUACACAUGCAAGUCGAACGGUAACAGGUCUUCGGAUGCUGACGAGUGGCGAACGGGUGAGUAAUACAUCGGAACGUGCCUAGUAGUGGGGGAUAACUACUCGAAAGAGUAGCUAAUACCGCAUGAGAUCUACGGAUGAAAGCAGGGGACCUUCGGGCCUUGUGCUACUAGAGCGGCUGAUGGCAGAUUAGGUAGUUGGUGGGGUAAAGGCUUACCAAGCCUGCGAUCUGUAGCUGGUCUGAGAGGACGACCAGCCACACUGGGACUGAGACACGGCCCAGACUCCUACGGGAGGCAGCAGUGGGGAAUUUUGGACAAUGGGCGAAAGCCUGAUCCAGCAAUGCCGCGUGCAGGAUGAAGGCCUUCGGGUUGUAAACUGCUUUUGUACGGAACGAAAAGCCUGGGGCUAAUAUCCCCGGGUCAUGACGGUACCGUAAGAAUAAGCACAGGCUAACUACGU
rnacentral:rRNA from 1 species